rnacentral:rRNA from 1 species
UGGGGAAUAUUGGACAAUGGGCGAAAGCCUGAUCCAGCCAUGCCGCGUGUGUGAAGAAGGCCUUAUGGUUGUAAAGCACUUUCAGCGAGGAGGAGGAUACUUAGAUUAAUACUCUAGGACCGCGCACGUUACUCGCAGAAUAAGCACCGGCUAACUCUGUGCCAGCAGCUGCGGUAAUACAGUGGGUGCGAGCGUUAAUCGGAUUUACUGGGCGUAAAGCGUGCGUAGGCGGCUUGUUAAGUCGGAUGUGAAAUCCCUGAGCUUAACUUAGGAAUUGCAUUCGAUACUGGUAAGCUAGAGUAUGGGAGAGGAUAGUAGAAUUCCAGGUGUAGCGGUGAAAUGCGUAGAGAUCUGGAGGAAUACCGAUGGCGAAGGCAGCCAUCUGGCCUAAUACUGACGCUGAGGUACGAAAGCAUGGGGAGCAAACAGG